rnacentral:rRNA from 1 species
AUUGAACGCUAGCGGCAUGCCUUACACAUGCAAGUCGAACGGAGUGGCGAACGGGUGAGUAAUGUAUCGGAAUGUGCCCAGUAGCGGGGGAUAACUACCCGAAAGCGUAGCUAAUACCGCAUACUAUUUGAUCUGCCUAUAUCGGAUUAGCUCGUUGGUGGGGUAACGGCCCACCAAGGCGACGAUCCGUAGCUGGUUUGAGAGGACGACCAGCCACACUGGGACUGAGACACGGCCCAGACUCCUACGGGAGGCAGCAGUGGGGAAUAUGGGACAAUGGGGGAAAGCCUGAUCCAGCCAUGCCGCGUGUGCGAAGAAGGCCUUCGGGUUGUAAAGCACUUUUGGCAGGAAAGCGGUACCUGCAGAAUAAGCACCGGCUAACUACGUGCCAGCAGCCGCGGUAAUAC